AUAUUAUAUGAAAGGAGAGGUUAGCCCUCCCAUUGACAAGGAUGGAAGUGUACCUUAGGCCUGACAACACGCAUAGGGUUAAUGCACUGCAACCUACUUUGUGGCAUCUAACUACUGCAUUGU